rnacentral:rRNA from 1 species
CGGACUGGUGAGUAACGCGUGAGGAACCUGCCUUUCGGAGGGGGACAACAGUUGGAAACGACUGCUAAUACCGCAUGACGUAUCGGGAUCGCAUGGUCUUGAUACCAAAGAUUUUAUCGCCGAAAGAUGGCCUCGCGUCUGAUUAGCUAGUUGGUGGGGUAAUGGCCUACCAAGGCAACGAUCAGUAGCCGGCCUGAGAGGGUGAACGGCCACAUUGGGACUGAGACACGGCCCAAACUCCUACGGGAGGCAGCAG